GAUGAACGCUGGCGGCAGGCUUAACACAUGCAAGUCGAGCGGGGUGAUGGUGCUUGCACUAUCACUUAGCGGCGGACGGGUGAGUAAUGCUUAGGAAUCUGCCUAUUAGUGGGGGACAACAUCUCGAAAGGGAUGCUAAUACCGCAUACGUCCUACGGGAGAAAGCAGGGGAUCACUUGUGACCUUGCGCUAAUAGAUGAGCCUAAGUCGGAUUAGCUAGUUGGUGGGGUAAAGGCCUACCAAGGCGACGAUCUGUAGCGGGUCUGAGAGGAUGAUCCGCCACACUGGGACUGAGACACGGCCCAGACUCCUACGGGAGGCAGCAGUGGGGAAUAUUGGACAAUGGGGGGAACCCUGAUCCGGCCAUGCCGCGUGUGUGAAGAAGGCCUUAUGGUUGUAAGGCACUUUAAGCGAGGAGGAGGCUCUUUUGGUUAAUACCCAAGAUGAGUGGACGUUACUCGCAGAAUAAGCACCGGCUAACUCUGUGCCAGCCGCCGCGGUAA
rnacentral:rRNA from 1 species